CCUACGGGUGGCAGCAGUGGGGGAUAUUGCACAAUGUAGGGAACUCUGAUGCAGCGACGCCGCGUGAGGGAAGAAGGUUUUCGGAUUGUAAACCUCUGUCUUCGGUGACGAAACGAGACGGUAGCCGAGGAGGAAGCCACGGCUAACUACGUGCCAGCAGCCGCGGUAAUACGUAGGUGGCAAGCGUUGUCCGGAAUUACUGGGUGUAAAGGGAGCGUAGGCGGGAAAGCAAGUUGAAUGUUUAAGGUACGGGCUCAACCUGUACAAGCGUUCAAAACUGUUUUUCUUGAGUGGAGUAGAGGUAAGCGGAAUGCCUAGUGUAGCGGUGAAAUGCGUAAAUAUAAGGAAGAACACCAGUGGCGAAGGCGGAUGACUGGACGGCAACUGACGGUGAGGCGCGAAAGCGUGGGGAGCAAACAGGAUUAGAUACCCCAGUAGUC
rnacentral:rRNA from 1 species